ACGAGAGGCGGAGGGCCUGGUUCCGCCGUGGCGUGUUGGGAGGAAUCCGGUCGUUUCUCCUCCCUGCCGCCCUGCGUUUCUCCUACUCUGUUUUGUUGUGGAAGGAUGGGUGUGCGUGGAGGCAGUGGAGGUGGGUUCCUCCAUGGUGAAGCUUUGAGCGAGAAAGCAUCGUUUCGAGGUGGCGGUAAUAGCCUUCGUCGCCAGCAUGAUUGUACGGUAAGAUGAAACACAACUGACCGAGAAGCCAAUAUUUGACAUCACCGGGGCUGACAUUUCAAUUGUUUGUGCUCGUGGAUGGGACAUCAUGUGAUGACAAGCCCGAGAAGCAGUACGGAGAAGCUGGAGAAGCAGAAUGGUUACAUGUGCACAGGAAGUCAACAGUGAAAGAGUGAGAACAGUCUAACCUUGAAGUUUUCUUGAAUUUACUUGAAUUUUAAUUUCUUUUGUAUGCUGAGCAGUCUGACUUGAAGUGCCCUUGAAUUUACUUGAACCUAAUUUCUAGUUGCUUGAUAAAGACAGAGCUAGAGAGUGAGCCGGCGCCUUUUGCGUGGGGAGGAAUAAGAUAGAAAGCUCACACGGGGGCAGUUGAUAGAGUGGGCCAAGUUACUAUGAUGUGGUCACUUAGUUAAAUAUUGUUCAAUAUAGUUUGAUCUAAGAUAUCAGUAGUGUUUUUUUCUUGCUCUUUGACGAUAACGUAUCUUAGAUAUAGAGUUGUUUUAUCUGCUUGGUUCCACGAUUAUUCUAUCACUUUGUUGAAUAAAGCAUUGAGUGCUUGCAUGUUGAGCGAUUUUCUGUGUUCUAGGCUUAUCCAAUUCUUAAUCGUUUUUUUUCUGUGAUUUGCGGACCUACAUGUUCAAGUAUGACUCCGUGCACGGCCACUGGAAGCACAAUGCCAUCAAGCUCAAGAACAACAAGACUCUCUUCUUCAGCGAGAAGAUAAAGAAAUUUAAGAGAGGCUAAAAUUAUAGAACAAGAAUAAUGCUUAUACAGGUUGAAGAACCUGUGCAGAGAAUAGAUGUGGUUCGGCCUUCUUCAGUUCACUCCAGGUUUUCUCAUUGCCAUCCAUAGUGGAUCCCUUUUUUUGUGUGUGGAUCUACCUCUCUUUCUUGGUCUGAUGUUCUUCCUCGUCUCUGGCCUUUUCUGCUUUCUUCUUCUGGUGGCCGUCGCCACAAGAUGCAGUGUGUCUUUGCGUGAGGAGGAAGAAGAGGGAAGGCUGGCGUGGUUGUAGUUGGUAGAUCAGGAGGGCCCGCUGUUUGUUGCUGUUUGUUUUGUAAGGCCCAAGAUAGAAUGUAUCCAUAAAGGCUUUUUUCAGUCCAUGUUUUUCAUUACUGGGGCGAAUUGAAAAGGCAAAGAGAACAUCGUGAUUGAAAAAACCGAAAAAAAACCCAGGCUGUUUCGAUUUUGACGAUCGGGACUGAUUGGAAUGACGACGGA